ACUGCCCUAACAGAGCAGGUGGGGAAUGUUCUGUUUACUCCACUUGUGCUUCUAUUUGGCCAACUUCGCCUCUUCAAUUAAAAGGACACAUGCUGUUAACGGGUGCUGUGGAUUACAGAUGAUCGCACUCUGGGCACAGUCCUCUGGAAAUGCAGAUGCCCGUGUGGAGGAAAUUCUGGCGGGAGAGGAGCGGCGACUCGCCGCUCUGCUUGGAUCUCAAGGCAUGAGGUUCUGGGUGUGCCUCGCAGCCUGCAGAGCCAUGUGGGGCCUUGCUGCCAGACGAGGACGGGCUGAAGACAGCAGCUCGUCUCCAGUGGACGCCUCCAAGUUCCCAUGGAGGGGUGGGCAGCAUCGCACCACCAUGAUGCCUUGUCUGCUGCGGGUGGGAGUUUUCAGGCCCUGUCAUGUGAGACCCACGGGGGAUCCUUCCUGCGAUGUGCAGCCUCCACGACUCGGCUUCUCCAGAGUGCCAGAUACACAGGUGGCAUUUUAUGGCAGUGGUCACUGGGACCCAACUCCCUUCUCUGUACACAGCUGUUUUUUUAAUUUCCAGGUCAGAAAAAUUAUCUUCCUACUUUGAACUCUUUCUCCUUUUUGCCAAAAAUGUUUCUCUCUUACAAUGCAGAAGCAGAACACAGCUCCUGCUCUUGAAAUACUGGAUGGAUGUUUCAGAGGGUAUUGUGAGGCUUGGAGCUCCAGCCAGUGACAUUCCAGCCACAUCCUUCUCUCCUGGCUCCACUUCACAGAGGCUGGCUGUGUCUCUGGACUACACCUCAGAGCUAAUCUGCUUUCUGGAAGGGUCGUGUUUACUUCUGCUGGUGCUGUGCAUGUAGGAGACAGCUGUGGCCAGCCCUGUUUCCCUGGGGAGGUGGCAGAGGCGGUACCAUGAGCAAGGGAUGCAGAUGCUCAAGGGGGACCAGUCAGGGGACACGGGGAGGGUUUGGCCUCUCCAGCCAGGGGCUCGCCACCUCCAUGGUAUAAACAUCCAUGUGAACAAAAAAGUUCUAACAAGUACCAGCACACUGAGAAUAUUUUAAACCACAACUAUCGUGGAAAAUCUGGGAGGGUGGUUCCUAGGUCCAGGGUGGAAAAGUAGCUGAAAACCUGGUAGGGUUUGAAGAACAAUCAGAGGCGGCCUUCCACUUCUGAGAACAGUUCCUGUGAGUCACCUGAUGUUGUUCUAGAUUAAUUCUAUCAAAGACAGUGUUGGUCAACCCAGCUGCAGGCACUUGAUUUCCUCUAAAAGCUCUGGAUAACAGAAGCAGAGCUGUGAAGAAAGUCAAGUUGAAUAAAAUGCUUCCACUUAAAAGAAUAGGGCUUUUCCUUGAAAUGGUCCACUGGAUCGACCAUUUCCUCUCAUUUAUUAUUAUUAUCAUCUCCAUUCCCAUGCAUGCUAUUUAGACAAGGAAGGCUGGAAGCAAGUGACAGGUGCGGCAGUGCGCAGCAAGGCCUCUGCACCUGGCCCGUCAGUAGGGCCGGCACGCAGCCUGACUACUGAGUUUCUUCUGCCUCAUUCCUCUCCAGAGGCCCUCAACUUACAAUAGAGACCCAGGAGCUGGGAGAUGACUGAAUCUGUUAACAUGACACAGAAGGACUAACCCAUAAACAUGAGCGUGAAUGUCUUUUGUUGGGGGACUAAGGAGAUGACACUGAAAAGGAGAAUCACAAGCCAAGUGCCAUAAGCAGACCACAUUCCCUGCAAGCUGCCCUGCUAGGCUUUAUCCCAAAUCAAAGAAAAAGGGAGAAUGUCUUAAUAUUCUCACAGAUUUGUAACCACUUCACUGGGGUAAGUUUUCCUUUGUAUAGAUGACGGAUUAUCCUUCUAAGCUGCAAGCUGAUAAAUGAGAAGCUAAGUAUAAAAUAUCUAGAACUAAGGUAGAUGAAGAUGUCUAUAUGUGCACUGGGUGUCACUUAUAUAUCUGCCUGUGUUAUUAAGGGCACAAAGGUUGUGUGGGGCUGUGUAAACUAUAGAUAUUAGGAAUACAGAUUAAAACAGUAAUUUCACAAUGCAAGUAGUGCCAAGCCACGAAAAUAUGCCUGGAGCAUCUUCUCUUUUCUCUACUUCACAGAAAAUAUUUCCAUAGACACUUUUCACCAGGCAUCUGCAGCUGUUUUUUUUUUUUUAAACAAUCAUAAUUUUAAGCACUAUAUGGUAAGCCAUUUGGAAGCCAUUCGAAUUAUGCAUUAAAACAAGGAAAAAUAAGAUGCCACUUGACAUACACUGAAACACAUAAAAUCAGAUACAGACUCUUGGGUGGAAAAAGUAUGUUCUUCAACUUAGUUCAGAUGUUAACAUAUAAAACAUGCUCAGGGAACCCUGAAAAAAUCCAGAGGUGAACACUCUGAUGGUCAAUCACAUGUGUUCCUUCUUCUGAUCUGGAUGAUUCUUACAUUUUUAGGGCGCUGUACUGUUUUUUAGCCCUUUGACUCAUUAAUGUAUCAGGGAAUAAAAAGGAUAUCAAACUCAAA
ensembl:lncRNA CELF2-AS1 CELF2 antisense RNA 1